rnacentral:rRNA from 1 species
ACCACAUGCAGGUCGAACGAUGAAGCCUAGCUUGCUGGGUGGAUUAGUGGCGAACGGGUGAGUAACACGUGAGCAACCUGCCCCUGACUCUGGGAUAAGCGCUGGAAACGGCGUCUAAUACUGGAUACGAGUAGCGAUCGCAUGGUCAGUUACUGGAAAGAUUUUUUGGUUGGGGAUGGGCUCGCGGUCUAUCAGCUUGUUGGUGAGGUAAUGGCUCACCAAGGCGUCGACGGGUAGCCGGCCUGAGAGGGUGACCGGCCACACUGGGACUGAGACACGGCCCAGACUCCUACGGGAGGCAGCAGUGGGGAAUAUUGCACAAUGGGCGGAAGCCUGAUGCAGCAACGCCGCGUGAGGGAUGACGGCCUUCGGGUUGUAAACCUCUUUUAGCAGGGAAGAAGCGAGAGUGACGGUACCUGCAGAAAAAGCGCCGGCUAACUACGUGCCAGCAGCCGCGGUAAUACGUAGGGCGCAAGCGUUAUCCGGAAUUAUUGGGCGUAAAGAGCUCGUAGGCGGUUUGUCGCGUCUGCUGUGAAAUCCCGAGGCUCAACCUCGGGCCUGCAGUGGGUACGGGCAGACUAGAGUGCGGUAGGGGAGAUUGGAAUUCCUGGUGUAGCGGUGGAAUGCGCAGAUAUCAGGAGGAACACCGAUGGCGAAGGCAGAUCUCUGGGCCGUAACUGACGCUGAGGAGC